GGCGUGGUGGCAGAGUGGUCUAAUGCGCUAGACUCGAAUUAUUCGUGUUAUCUAGUCCCUUCGGGGGCGUCUGUUCGAAUCAGGCCCACGUCG